rnacentral:rRNA from 1 species
CCUACGGGAGGCUGCAGUGGGGGAUAUUGCACAAUGGUGGGGACCCUGAUGCAGCGACGCCGCGUGGGUGAAGGAGCGUUUGGGCGCGUAAAGCCCUAUCGGCAGGGGAGAAGAUGACGGUACCUGACCAAGAAGCCCCGGCUAAAUACGUGCCAGCAGCCGCGGUAAUACGGAGGGGGCAAGGGUUAUCCGGAUGUACUGGGGUUAAAGGGGGCGCAGACGGCAAUGCCAGCGAGGAGUGAAAGCGCGGGGCCCCAACCCCGGACUGCCCUUGGAACUGCAGGGCUGGAGUACAGGAGGGGCAGGCGGAAUGCCUAGUGUAGCGGUGAAAUGCGUAGAUAUUAGGAGGAACACCGGUGGCGAAGGCGGCCUGCUGGACUGUGACUGACGUUGAGGCACGAAGGCGUGGGGAGCAAACAGGAUUAGAUACCCUAGUAGUC